rnacentral:rRNA from 1 species
UACGAAGGGGGCUAGCGUUGCUCGGAAUUACUGGGCGUAAAGCGCACGUAGGCGGCUUUCUAAGUCGGGGGUGAAAUCCUGGAGCUCAACUCCAGAACUGCCUUUGAUACUGGGGAUCUCGAGUCCGGGAGAGGUGAGUGGAACUGCGAGUGUAGAGGUGAAAUUCGUAGAUAUUCGCAAGAACACCAGUGGCGAAGGCGGCUCACUGGCCCGGUACUGACGCUGAGGCGCGAAAGCGUGGGGAGCAAACAGG